AAAAAAUUAAACGACAAUCUCAGUUUUUAAAACAAAACAUAUCAUUUUCAAGACUGCAGAAGCGUUUAAAACCAAAAAAGUAGCAAGCAAGUUAUGCAGGCAACUGAAAAAACUUCAUUGAUAAAAUAAUUAUUAAAAGUCAAAUACAAAUUAUGCAAAAUAAAACGUUUUGAGAAAUGCCUUCUUUCCUCUCAUUUCUCCCUACGAAUUGACAAUGGCACCUGCAUUAUCUGCGAAAGAGAACCAAUUUGAAUUAGAUACACAUUGAUGGAGAAAAACUUAGAGAGCUAGGUAGUUCAUACAGAACUAAGUUCACUGAACUUCCUCAUGAAUCAUCCAAUUUGACCAAACCGCAAGUUAAUUUUCAUAUAUUUAACAUCCCAGAAAAAAUGGGGUUGCAUCACAUUAGACCAACUACUGGGGGAAAAUGGAAAAAAGGAUUUUGAUUACACCUGUUUCUAGUGAAGAAUCAGUUGUUUCAUUAUUAGAACCUCAUCUCAGUUGUUAUAGACCAAUAUAUUGCAUCCGGUAGCUGCCAUGACACAUACUGAUUCUUCACCAAUUAUCUUUCUCUUUACGUUUUAUUUUGUUACAGAACCAAAUAGCUGGAUAUCUGCAGGAUUAAAAAAACUCCUGCAAGAAAAGGGUGGAAGUAUCAAUGCUCAAAAAGGACACUUUCCAGCCACAUGUCACUUCCAACUCAUACAAUACAAAUGCAGAAACAUUGGAAGCCAGAGGAAGUCACUAGUUUAAGUGCAAUCAGAAAAUCACCGCCAAGAAACAUGCAUACAAGUAUCGGCCACAUGGGUGAACAAGGAACGGAGUUUAAGGAAAACAAAAAUUUAUAAUUGUGUCAAAAUGUUAAAAUUAUUAUGAGAAACCUUAUAUGCUUUGCUUCUGCCACUUGACCCUUAAAAAUCACCCAAACAACAACAAAAAAGAGAGCAAAACACAAUUUGAGUUAAGAAUAAAGGAGGCUCAGAUUCGCCUUUUCUCAGACAGGAGAGGGAAUGGCUAGUGCACAGGCUGCGUCAACAGCAUCUGUGCAAGAACCAGAAGGUAAAUUCCACACAGAUACCGAGUCACCUAGCCAGGACACAGCUCUUCGCUCAUAUCUGGUCUAAUUGCUGAAAACAUAAUCAUUGCCUCGUUAUAGCCAGAAGAAGAAGAAGAAGAAGAACCUGAAUCCAAAAAGAUGCAGAAAGAAAGAGAUGUUUGUGUGUUGUGUGUAUAUGGAGAGCUGUUUGGUAAAUUCAAUUAUAAUGAUCAUUGGCUUACACAGCAACUUAGAGAGGGCAACAGCUAUCAAGACAACCUUCUCUCAAAGAGCGGAGCCUCAUACUUAAACUAAUGACUAAUGAGUACAACCCUAAUUGCAGGGUUUCAGAAAAAAGGCUCAGAUUCAUCUUUACAGAGGAAAGAGACAGAUGGGAGGAGCUCACCCUGGCUGCAUCAUCAGCAUUUGUAUAAAAAGGUCAUGCUUGUCUUCUCAAACAGACACUGAAUUACCUUGCCAGGACUCAAGCUCUUACUAAUGUCCAUUUUCUGAUCUAAAUGAUGAAAACAACAUCACUGCCUCCCUUCUGACCAUUGUCCAGAACAAACAGAAAGUGAGUCAAACAUAAUCUUCCACUGGGUUCUAUAACUGAGGAUGCAACUUCACUUGAAAAUAACGGGAACAAAAACUGGUAUGCAAUUCAAGGCUCAAAAAUGCACAAAAAGAAAAAGCAUGAAAUGGAUAACUGCAUUAAGAGAAUUGAUGAAAAUGUCAUGAGCCCAGGCUUGCAAAGAACAAACCAGAGCCAUGCCUCCUCAGAAAAUUGACUGUCCAAAAACCUCAUCCCUCUCCCAAAUUAGACCAAUGGCGGUUCUAACCAGGGUUCUUAGAAAUAAGUUGUUCUUAUGGGUUUCCACCAUUGGAGCUUGCGACAUGGCUGCCAAUUGUAGAACCAGUUCUGACAGGCUCUAUUUAAAUUUGAUUUUGUUUUUAAACUAAAAUUAUAGCUUCACAUCAAACAAACAAAAAAUUAACAAAGACAACAAUUGAAUUAGUUAUAUUCCCCUUACAUUUUGAACUUUCAUAAAUUUUGAAAACCCCAUCAAAGCAAGCUAAAACAUUCAGUCAUAUAGAAAUUGUAGAUUAAAAGAAUCAUAACAGCCAACCAGAUUAUUAUUGGAUAGCAUUAAAAGUGAGGAGGUAUAUGGACACUAUACUUGUAGAGCCCCAAUGGAGCAGAUGUGAGUACGACAAAAAGAUCAUCACAUCCGUAACGAUGGACUCGGUUAAUAUCCCAGACCUGUAACUGUAUCAACCAUAGUUUGUUGAGCAGUAUACCUUACUAAUGUCUGGAGACAGUAAUCCAAAUGAGUAAAGUAUGACUUACAUAGGGAAAUAGGAACAUAUGAACUAAGCAUAUAGGAUUUCAGAAAAAUCAAAACAUUUUAGUUCGUAAAGAAAAUGCAAACUAACAAAAUCCUAGGAAAACAAUUUGUUUUGUUUUUGUAUAAUAAUAUAGAGUAACAGAAGUACUUAGAAUUUUCAGGCCCCUAAUGUGUAGAGCCCCAAUGGAGCAGAUGUGAGCACGAGAAAACCAUCACAUCUGUAACGAUGAUGGACACAUUAAUUUUCCAGACUCGUAACUGUAUCAACCAUAAUAUUUUGAGGAGAAUACCUGACUAAUGUCUGGAGACAGAAACUACUAAAAGAACUAAAAACUUAAAAAGAUAAAAGAGAUGAAGACCACAAAACUAAUCAGUAUUAUCAAAACCUUCCGUUACAAAUUGUAUCUCUUCAGACAUUCCAUUUUCCCAAAUGAACAGAAAUUUCAUAAUAAAAAUCGCAAAAUAGAAGAAAAGUAGAAAAAGCCCAAACCUUGACAGGGAUGAUAAACAAAAGUAAGGACUCGGUAAGGGUAUGGUAUAGUAUAAUGAUAACUGGUCUUAAGAGGUGCAGCGAAACCUCAAAAAUAAAAUCUCCACACUACAUUACCAGUAUUUUUUUCUAAAACCAAACUGUGUUCAGUUACCUUUCAAUAAUAAAUAUGAACAGAACAGAUCAUUCCUGAUGAUAAAGCAGAAAAAAAAAUUGAAAAGAAAGAAACAAUGUACCGAAUAGCGAAAAGUAAGAUACCAUGAGAGAUCCAACUCGAUAUAUUCGAUAGCAUGCAUUGAUCUAGCUGGUUAAAUAUACAUCAAGCUAUCAUAUCCUCAUGAAUAAUAGAAUAUGCGCUGCUCAACCAGCAACAUCAACAUUUGAAUCCUCCCAUCUCAGCAAGAAAAAAACAAGUGAUAUUUGGCAUUGAAGGAGGAUAACAAUAGGAUCAUCAACAGCACCGGAAUCAAAUCUCCAUGCAGAAGACUUGAGAACUUCUCAUUAUUCCAACACAAACAUGCAACAAAACCUAUACCUAAUUCUGUUUUUGAAAAUAACUAAACAGAAUUAUUAAAUGUCACUGUAAUUGUUAUUACAAAACCACUAACUCUACAAUGUUGAGAGAACAACAUUAUAGCAAAAACUUCAUUUCACGCUUUGGAAACAAGUAAAACACAGAAUAGAAUACCCCAAAAGCAAAAAUAGUUUCAUUUUCUCUACUUUUUUUGUUAAACUAUUGCGCGCUGCAUAUUCAGAGAGUGUGAGAAUGGAAGAGGGAACAAAAUCAAACCUGACUCUGCCAUUGUGUUGAGCUGAGGUAAUAAGAAAUGGAAUUAGGGUUUUCUUUAGGGGCAAUAUUUAUAAGGAGCGGGGUUUAGUUAGGGUUUUUGCGUUCCGUCAGAAAAAAAUUCCUCC
rnacentral:lncRNA from 1 species